UACGUAGGGUGCAAGCGUUAAUCGGAAUUACUGGGCGUAAAGCGUGCGCAGGCGGUGAUGUAAGACAGAUGUGAAAGCCCCGGGCUCAACCUGGGAAUGGCGAUGAAGACUGCAAGGCUUGAAUCUGGCAGAGGGGGGUAGAAUUCCACGUGUAGCAGUGAAAUGCGUAGAGAUGUGGAGGAACACCGAUGGCGAAGGCAGCCCCCUGGGUCAAGAUUGACGCUCAUGCACGAAAGCGUGGGGAGCAAACAGG
rnacentral:rRNA from 1 species